GGGUUUGAUUCUGGCUCAGAUUGAACGCUGGCGGAAUGCUUUACACAUGCAAGUCGAGCGGCAGCGCGGGGCAACCUGGCGGCGAGCGGCGAACGGGUGAGUAAUGCAUCGGAACAUGUCCUGUCGUGGGGGAUAGCCCGGCGAAAGCCGGAUUAAUACCGCAUACGUCCGAGAGGAGAAAGUGGGGGACUCGAAAGGGCCUCACGCGAUUGGGUUGGCCGAUGUCCGAUUAGCUAGUUGGCGGGGUAAGAGCCCACCAAGGCGAUGAUCGGUAGCUGGUCUGAGAGGAUGAUCAGCCACACUGGGACUGAGACACGGCCCAGACUCCUACGGGAGGCAGCAGUGGGGAAUUUUGGACAAUGGGGGCAACCCUGAUCCAGCCAUUCCGCGUGGGUGAAGAAGGCCUUCGGGUUGUAAAGCCCUUUUGUCCGGAGCGAAACGGUGGACGUGAAUAUCGUCCGCUACUGACGGUACCGGAAGAAUAAGCACCGGCUAACUACGUGCCAGCAGCCGCGGUAAUACGUAGGGUGCGAGCGUUAAUCGGAAUUACUGGGCGUAAAGCGUGCGCAGGCGGUUUUGUAAGCCAGAUGUGAAAUCCCCGGGCUCAACCUGGGAAUGGCAUUUGGGACUGCAAGGCUCGAGUGCGGCAGAGGAGACUGGAAUUCCUGGUGUAGCAGUGAAAUGCGUAGAUAUCAGGAGGAAUACCGAUGGCGAAGGCAGGUCUCUGGGCUGACACUGACGCUCAUGCACGAAAGCGUGGGGAGCAAACAGGAUUAGAUACCCUGGUAGUCCACGCCCUAAACGAUGUCGACUGGUUGUUGGGGGUUUGACACUCUCAGUAACGAAGCUAACGCGUGAAGUCGACCGCCUGGGGAGUACGGCCGCAAGGUUAAAACUCAAAGGAAUUGACGGGGACCCGCACAAGCGGUGGAUUAUGUGGAUUAAUUCGAUGCAACGCGAAAAACCUUACCUACCCUUGACAUGUCCUGGAGGCCCCUGAGAGGGGGCUGUGCCCGAAAGGGAACGGGAACACAGGUGCUGCAUGGCUGUCGUCAGCUCGUGUCGUGAGAUGUUGGGUUAAGUCCCGCAACGAGCGCAACCCUUGUCAUUAGUUGCUACAUUCAGUUGGGCACUCUAGUGAGACUGUCGGUGACAAACCGGAGGAAGGUGGGGAUGACGUCAAGUCCUCAUGGCCCUUAUGGGUAGGGCUUCACACGUAAUACAAUGGCGCGUACAGAGGGUUGCGAAGGAGCGAUCUGGAGCCAAUCCCUCAAAGCGCGUCGUAGUCCGGAUUGCAGUCUGCAACUCGACUGCAUGAAGUCGGAAUCGCUAGUAAUCGCGGAUCAGCAUGUCGCGGUGAAUACGUUCCCGGGUCUUGUACACACCGCCCGUCACACCAUGGGAGUGGGUUCCACCAGAAGCCGGUCGCCUAACCCGCAAGGGAGGGCGCCGACCACGGUGAGAUUCAUGACUGGGGUGAAGUCGUAACAAGGUAACC
rnacentral:rRNA from 1 species